rnacentral:rRNA from 1 species
GAUGAACGCUGGCGGCGUGCCUAAUACAUGCAAGUCGAGCGAACAGACGAGGAGCUUGCUCCUCUGACGUUAGCGGCGGACGGGUGAGUAACACGUGGAUAACCUACCUAUAAGACUGGGAUAACUUCGGGAAACCGGAGCUAAUACCGGAUAAUAUAUUGAACCGCAUGGUUCAAUAGUUAAAGACGGUUUUGCUGUCACUUAUAGAUGGAUCCGCGCCGCUUUAGCUAGUUGGUAAGGUAACGGCUUACCAAGGCAACGAUGCGUAGCCGACCUGAGAGGGUGAUCGGCCACACUGGAACUGAGACACGGUCCAGACUCCUACGGGAGGCAGCAGUAGGGAAUCUUCCGCAAUGGGCGAAAGCCUGACGGAGCAACGCCGCGUGAGUGAUGAAGGUCUUCGGAUCGUAAAACUCUGUUAUUAGGGAAGAACAAAUGUGUAAGUAACUAUGCACGUCUUGACGGUACCUAAUCAGAAAGCCACGGCUAACUACGUG